GUGCCCACAGUUUGCCCACCGGACGGCCCUGCUAGGUGGGAAGCUCCUUGCAGGCAGGAACCCCAUCUGCUUGACUUUACUUUGGAAUCUCCGCAGCCUCAUACGGGGCUGAGGCAGGUCCUUCCGUAAAAUGGAACUGAAUGAGCGGCGCCAUUCAGUUAAUCCAUCCGCCAAAGGCCAGUCUCCCUUGGGUUUUCAACAGGUCGUUCCUCACCUCGUGCAGCAUUGCAGUGAGUGGGCGACAAGGAACCUCGUGGUCUCCGUGUGCUUUGCGGGGACCACCUCUUCGCAGGGGCCGCCACCUGCCUCUCCGGCGCUGCAUCCUCAGCAUCCCCACUGCCC
rnacentral:lncRNA from 1 species